GCCGGUGAUGACUUGUAUUGGUUGCUGAACAGGCAAAUUUGAUUGCCUGGACUCUGUCGACAUUUUGCAUGAACUAGGACGGUCUGAGGC
rnacentral:snoRNA from 1 species